rnacentral:rRNA from 1 species
AGACGUAGGGGGCGAGCGUUGUCCGGAAUUACUGGGCGUAAAGAGCACGUAGGCGGGACUCUAAGUCAGGUGUGAAAGACCGGGGCUCAACCUCGGGGUUGCACAUGAAACUGGAGUUCUUGAGGGCAGGAGAGGGCAGUAGAAUUCCUGGUGUAGCGGUGAAAUGCGUAGAAAUCAGGAGGAAUACCAGUGGCGAAGGCGACUGCCUGGACUGACCCUGACGCUGAGGUGCGAAAGCGUGGGUAGCAAACAGGAUUAGAUACCCUGGUAGUCCACGCCGUAAACGAUGGAUACUAGGUGUGGGAGGUAUCGACCCCUUCCGUGCCGCAGCUAACGCAAUAAGUAUCCCGCCUGGGGAGUACGGUCGCAAGGCUGA